CUCUUAUUAAGAGUGAUGGAGAUGCAAAGGAUCUGUGAAGUCACGACAACCUCCGAUUACGGAAGUCGGAAGGUGCCAACCUUGAGCGAGUUAUGUUCGAACAAUGAGAG
rnacentral:ncRNA from 1 species